UCCGUGCUGUCCGUGCCCCUCAUCUCGGUAGCCCCUUCCCCUUGUCUUCCAAGUGUGCCACCACCCCUCCCUGCUGUGAUUUAGUGACCGGAGAGGAAGAACCAGAUCCAAGCCGACGAGCACUGGGGUGAGGUUCCCGUGAGCAGGAUCCGUCGCCUCCCACCACGCAAGGAGCCAUGGUGUCCGGGUCACCGUUCCUUCUCCCCUUCUCGAAUCAAGGAUCCACGCCGACGAUCCCCUUGAUGCCCAAGCAGGUCUGCCCUACCACCUAGUCCACCACCAUGCCUCCGCCGCUAACAAGCAUCAAAGAAUUGAGAAGGCUUGAGAAAGAGGAGAGAGCUAGAGAAAAGAUGUUUCACAACGAUAUGAUGGUAGGACCCUUCUUGCAAUCAAUUGCAGUUGGCAAACUAUGGCAGGAGCUUCCGGGUGUUCACUCAGAUGCUUGUUUGAUGUUUUCAUGGUACACCGUAGAGGAACAAGAUACCGUGUGCAAUUAUUAUCUAAGGUAAGAGAAGAAGAUGAUGCAAAGGCGAUAAAACUUGUGUGCCAUUAUAUGGAAAAAAGACAGGAGGUGGUGUAAGGUAACUUCUCAUGGAAACUUUGGGUUGGCCUAAUCAUCAAAUGGAUGAUGUAAGUUACCUCUGUAGUUAGAUAAUGGUGUUUUGGAUGCCAACAGUGUCGUACUUUAUCUGAAAAACAAAAAAUCGAUGAAGAUGAGGUUUCUGUUGAGUUAAUGAAGAUGAUGAUGAGCUUGACGACAAGAGCUCGAAAAUUGUAGAGAGCAGUGAUGACAUGCACAUGGACAACAAGCUAGCUUUGCUUAUCAAGGACAGUUGGCAUAGUUCAGUAGAAUGUGAACAACUUCUAAGUUGCAAUACCUGUAAGAUGUUGUUUUGUACAAAAUGCUUGCCCUAUGUACGAUGUAUAUUUUGACCCUGAGUGUGAUGUAUGUGUUCAUUGAUAAUCUGAUGUGUAAGAGGAA